rnacentral:rRNA from 1 species
AUCCAGCCAUGCCGCGUGUGUGAGGAAGGCUUUCGGGUUGUAAAGCACUUUCAGCGAGGAAGAAAGCCUCUGGAUUAAUACCCCAGAGGAAGGACAUCACUCGCAGAAGAAGCACCGGCUAACUCCGUGCCAGCAGCCGCGGUAAUACGGAGGGUGCGAGCGUUAAUCGGAAUUACUGGGCGUAAAGCGCGCGUAGGUGGCUUGGCACGCCGGUUGUGAAAGCCCCGGGCUCAACCUGGGAACGGCAUCCGGAACGGCCAGGCUAGAGUGCAGGAGAGGAAGGUAGAAUUCCCGGUGUAGCGGUGAAAUGCGUAGAGAUCGGGAGGAAUACCAGUGGCGAAGGCGGCCUUCUGGCCUGACACUGACACUGAGGUGCGAAAGCGUGGGUAGCAAACAGGAUUAGAUACCCUGGUAGUCCACGCCGUAAACGAUGUCGACUAGCCGUUGGGACCUUUAAGGACUUAGUGGCGCAGUUAACGCGAUAAGUCGACCGCCUGGGGAGUACGGCCGCAAGGUUAAAACUCAAAUGAAUUGACGGGGGCCCGCACAAGCGGUGGAGCAUGUGGUUUAAUUCGAUGCAACGCGAAGAACCUUACCUACCCUUGACAUCCAGAGAAGUUGGCAGAGAUGCCUUCGUGCCUUCGGGAACUCUGAGACAGGUGCUGCAUGGCUGUCGUCAGCUCGUGUUGUGAAAUGUUGGGUUAAGUCCCGUAACGAGCGCAACCCUUGUCCUUAUUUGC